rnacentral:rRNA from 1 species
GACGGGGCCCGCACAAGCGGUGGAGUAUGUGGUUUAAUUCGACGCAACGCGAAGAACCUUACCAGGGCUUGACAUCCCCUGACCGCGUAUGAAAGUACGUUUUCACCCUCGGGUGACAGGGAGACAGGUGGUGCAUGGUUGUCGUCAGCUCGUGUCGUGAGAUGUUGGGUUAAGUCCCGCAACGAGCGCAACCCCUACGUUUAGUUGCUAACGCGUGAAGGCGAGCACUCUAGACGAACUGCCGUUGACAAAACGGAGGAAGUGGGAUGACGUCAAAUCAUCAUGCCCCUUAUGUUCUGGGCUACACACGUGCUACAAUGGCCGGUACAGACGGACGCAAAGCCGCGAGGUGGAGCAAAUCCUAAAAAGCCGGUCUCAGUUCGGAUUGCAGGCUGCAAUUCGCCUGCAUGAAGUCGGAAUCGCUAGUAAUCGCAGGUCAGCAUACUGCGGUGAAUACGUUCCCGGGCCUU